rnacentral:rRNA from 1 species
GGCCCUUCGGGUACUCGAGUGGCGAACGGGUGAGUAACACGUGGGUGAUCUGCCCCUGACUUUGGGAUAAGCCUGGGAAACUGGGUCUAAUACCGGAUAUUACCUUCCACUGCAUGGUGGGGGGUGGAAAGCUUUUGCGGUUAGGGAUGGGCCCGCGGCUUAUCAGCUUGUUGGUGGGGUAAUGGCCUACCAAGGCGACGACGGGUAGCCGACCUGAGAGGGUGAUCGGCCACACUGGGACUGAGACACGGCCCAGACUCCUACGGGAGGCAGCAGUGGGGAAUAUUGCACAAUGGGCGGAAGCCUGAUGCAGCGACGCCGCGUGAGGGAUGACGGCUUCGGGU